rnacentral:rRNA from 1 species
UACGUAGGGGGCAAGCGUUGUCCGGAAUCAUUGGGCGUAAAGCGCGUGUAGGCGGUUCGAUAAGUCUGCUGUGAAAGUCCAGGGCUCAACCCUGGGAUGCCGGUGGAUACUGUCGAGCUAGAGUACGGAAGAGGCGAGUGGAAUUCCCGGUGUAGCGGUGAAAUGCGCAGAUAUCGGGAGGAACACCAAUUGCGAAGGCAGCUCGCUGGGACGUCACUGACGCUGAGACGCGAAAGUGUGGGGAGCGAACAGG